rnacentral:rRNA from 1 species
ACAAACGCUGGCGGGGUGCAUGAGACAUGCAAGUCGAACGGGGUUGAGCGGGCUUGCUCGAUCAACCUAGUGGCGGACGGCUGAGUAACGCGUAGGUGACCUACCCGGAAGUGGGGAAUAACUGCCCGAAAGGGUGGCUAAUACCGCAUGUGGGUCGGCGAUUCGGUUCGCCGCCCAAAGCCGCAAGGCGCUUCCGGCGGGGCCUUGCGGUCCGAUUAGCUAGUUGGUGGGGGUAAUGGCUCACCAAGGCGACGAUCGGUAGCUGGUCUGAGAGGAUGAUCAGCCAGACUGGGACUGAGAACGGCCCCAGACUCCUACGGGAGGCAGCAGUCGGGAAUUUUGCCCAAUGGACGAAAGUCUGAGGCAGCAACUCCGCGUGAGGGACGAAGGCCUUCGGGUCGUAAACCUCUUUUCUCAGGGAAGAUCCAAGACGGUACCUGAGGAAUAAGCCACGGCUAACUACGUGCCAGCAGCCGCGGUAAUACGGGGGGAGCAAGCGUUGUUCGGAUUUACUGGGCGUAAAGGAGGCGCGUAGGCGGCAUGCGUCAAGUCAGAUUGUGAAAGCUCCCGGGCUUAACCUGCGGAACUGUCAUCGGAAAUACUGAUCGGCUGCUAGAGGUGCGGAGAGGGGCUAGCUGGGAAUUCCCGGUGUAGUCGGUGAAAAUGCGUAGAUAUCGAGAGGAACACCAGUGCGGGCGAAGGCGGGCUUACCUGGCCCAUUCUUGACCGCUGAGGCGCGAAAGCCUAGGGGAGCGAAACGGGAUUAGAUACCCCGGUAGUCCUAGGCCGUAAACGAUGAACACUAGGCGUAGUCGGAGUUUAUCGACCCCGGCUGUGCCGUAGCUAACGCAUUAAGUGUAUCCCGCCUGGGGAGUACGGCCGCAAGGACUAAAACUCAAAGGAAUUGACGGGGGACCCGCACAAGCAGCGUGGAGCAGUGUGGUUUAAUUCGAUCGCAACGCGAAGAAACCUUACCAUGGGCUAGAAUGCACCGGGGAAAAACGGCCGGAGAGAUAACGUCGUCCUCCCGCAAGGGACCUCGGCUAGUGCAGGUGCUUGCAUGGCUGUCGUCAGCUCGUGUCGUGAGAUGUUGGGUUAAGUCCCGCAACGAGCGCAACCCUUAUCGAUAGUUGCUAGCGGUUCGGCCGAGCACUCUAUUGAGACUGCCGUUGACAAAACGGAGGAAGGUGGGGAUGACGUCAAGUCCUCAUGGGCCUUUAUGUCCAGGGGCUACACACGUGCUACAAUGGCAAGUACAAAGCGCUGCAAAACCUGCGAAGGGGAGCCAAUCGCAAAAAAGCUUGUCUCAGUUCGGAUUGGAGUCUGCAACUCGACUCCAUGAAGCUGGAAUCGCUAGUAAUCGCAGAUCAGCAUGCUGCGGUGAAUACGUUCCCGGGUCUUGUACAACACCGCCCGUCACAUCACGAAAGUGGGUUGUACUAGAAGUCGUCAAGCCAACCGCAAGGGGGCAGACGCCCACGGUAUGAUCCAUGAUUGGGGUG